rnacentral:rRNA from 1 species
AACGAACGCUGGCGGCGCGCUUAACACAUGCAAGUCGAACGAGAAGGCGUAGCAAUACGCUUGUACAGUGGCGACCGGGUGAGUAACACGUGACUAACCUACCUUCAAGUGAGGGAUAACCUCGGGGAAACCGGGGCUAAUACCGCAUAAUAUCUUCGGAGUGGAAAUUCUGGAGAUCAAAGGAGCAAUUCGCUGGAAGAGGGGUC